AGGUGUGGUGGUGCAUGCCUGUAAUCCUAGCAGCUUGGGAAGCUGAGGCAGGAGGAUCACAAGUUCAACGCCAGCCUCUGGAACUUAGUGAGGCCCUAAGCUACUUAGUGAGACCCUGUCUCAA
rnacentral:sRNA from 1 species